ACACAUACAUGACACUAAACACACUUGUAGGAGUCUGCACAGGACCAGUAACGCACGCGCGCAGGAAAAACCCGGUGUAACUCCACGGUGCGAUUUUGGGUCUAGGUCACUGAGUGGCUUAAAGUCCUCGACAGCUCAAACAACCCCGCGAAAACCAUCUCGGCGGGGCCGAGGUGAGCGGACCCUCUGAGGCCGGGUCCCGCUGCCCCCCCGGCCCGGCCCGGCCCGGCCCGGCCCCCGCACCUGCCCCGCUCACAAAAUGGCAGCUUCAUGAUGUAAAAGAGGACCAGUCCAGCCAGUCGCAGAGGAACUCACAUACAGCAGCACAGGCAGGAGGAUGUGCUAAAUGCUGCCAGUGCAGGAUGCAGCACAGCACCAUGCCAUUGAGUCCAACUGAAGACAGAUGCAACAAUUCCAAGUGCCACUGGUGGGACAUUUGCUUGAGCAGAGAAAGGGUGUCCUUUUUCUCCUCUUGCACUAAAGAGUCGAAAUUUGUCCUGGUAAAUUUAUCUGUAAAAUCUAUUUUAUGGUUCAAGAUUCUACUGUUGUGAAGACAUCACAUUUUAUUUAACAAGAGGUAUUCAGACUCUCUAGUCCUAAGCCAUCCAAGAGCAGACCUAGCCAAAGAACCAUUCUUCUCUCUCCUCGAGUUGAACUCACAGCUGCAGGAAGAUUUACUGAAAAAUUUCCGGAAAGAUCAAGAGAGCAUGAUCACCUGAAGUACAUGGCUUUAUCAAGAAAGUUCUGCUUUACUCCUGCUAAAAAAAAAACCAGCUGCUUACUAUAGCUUGGGAGGAGCCUUUAAAUUCUUGUUCACUAAAACAACCCUGGUUCAUGGCCCAUCACCACUGACUCUAGGCUUCUUCUGUAAUAUUUGUCCUAGUAGUGUUAUUUUGCGUCCCGAUUGAAAAGGAGCAUGGUAAUGUGCAAACUUGUCUCACAGUACAAAGCUGUAUUGCCUACUCUGAGAGCAGGCUAGAAAAAUCCUUGUAUCUCUAGAAAUAUGGAAGUGUAUGGAGAUCUCCAUUAAAAAAAAAAAAGUGCAAAAGCUAGAAAGUUGAGGGUAAGCCUCACAAGCAAAAUCCCCCAAACACUGUGAGCAGACAAGUUAGAAUAAAGCUGAGAUGGAAAUUUAUACAUUUUUAGAGAGGUGAAUAAAGACAGAUUCAGGGAAGAAGUGUAUCUUGCAAACACACGUACAGUCAGAGAAGUCAAAUGUCCAAUGUUUAAAACUCACAUUGCAUGAAAUACAGCAAACCCACAGUGCUAACUGAGGCACAGUAUGGUAGAUGCAAAAUCUUUAAGUCAACAGCAUUCCCUUGUGGACAAUAAUCACUGACUGGGAAAUCUCUUUAAAAGCCCUGGUCCCUGCUGGGUGAAGUGCUGGAAUCUUUGCUGUUCUCUCAGGGUGCCACCCUGCUGUGUGCAUGGUGAUGAAGAAUAAAUAUGCAUGAAGUCGACAGUUAGUUUGGCUUCCACCAAAGCUUAAUUUAGCUCACUUCCCAGUGCUGAAUAAGAGAAAUUAAUAAUAAUAAUUAAUAGUUCUUUUAACACAGUGAGUAAGGAGCAGCAUGUGAUAAAAAUCCUAAAUCUAGGGAAACUUCAUUGCUGGGAGACAAGGACUGUACAAUGUAUUCCACAUUGCCAAGGAAGUACAACAUACUUUGGAGGGUACUGAUGGACUAAACAAAAGAAAAUGUCUGGUCAGAGGAAACAAAGGAAUGCACUGUAGAAUCCAGGGAGGAUGUAGUACGGUCCACACCAGCUGGAAUGCAUCUCCUGAGGAGGCUGAAAUUCCUUCCAUCUUCUUCCCCCUCCUGUUUUUGGUUUUCGACCUUCUCUGUCAAGAAAAGGACAAAAGCUCUAUUAUGUCUGAAGUCUGGCCACAAGCAACAGUACCUAAAAAGUGCUUCAGAGCAUUUAGCACAUGAGCAUGUGCUAUUUCUGCAGGACCUUGGCAAGCUUUCUCAGUGACUUUUGCCAUCAUCCACAAAUUGCAUAUUCCUUCAGUAUAACUUCACAAAGGUUCCUCCUUUUCUUCUUGGCUUGCACCACUGUACUCACUUCCUUAGAAGCCAGAAGAUGCAGAGCUGACAUUGUACAAGGAAUUUUGAAUAAAUUCUGAUAUACAUUUUGAGGAGAAAACAUGGGGUGUUCAUUACUGAUUUUGUUACUUUAUUGUGGUUAUUUCUGUGUAUAGUUGUAAAUGGGUUUUUUUGUGGGUAGUGCUGCACAAAGUCUGAGAAAGGUAGCAUACUUCCCUACAAAAUUUCAAAAUGUUUUUAAAAGUACAGCAAGUAGAAAGCAGAGAAGUACAUUCUAUUUUUAUAAUAUGUAUAGUGUCGGGGAAGGUUUAGGUUGGAUAUCAGGAAAAAGUUUUCAUCCAGACUGUGGUUGGGCACUGGAAGAGGCUCCCCAAGGAAGUGGUCACAGCAUCAAGCCUGAUAGAGUUCAAGAAGCAUUUGGACAAUACUCUCAGGCACAUGGUAUGAUUCUUGGGAUGUCCUGUGUAGGGCCAGGAUUUGGACUUAAUGAUCCUGAUGAACCCCUUCCAACUCAUCAUAUUCUAUGACUCUAUGAUUCUAUAUAUUACACAUAAAAUACAUACACUUAUGGCCUGCCCAUCAGACACUCAUUGCUCCCAGAGAGGGUGGAUAGACUAGCAAGUAAAGAGUCUUCAAACUUCAUUCAAGAAGAGUGACCUAUGAACAGAGGACAGUGCUGAUGAAGACAUAGACAUGGUUGAGGGGAAAUGGACAAGCUGGGGCUGUCCUCAAUGGCAUGGGAAAGGAAACAGAAGCUGGAUAAAAAGAAACAUGCAGAUAAUUAGUAAGGGAAAGGACCAUAUCACUCUCAAAGGUGUGGACAAGAUGGUUUUGCUCAAUGCGGUGGGAAAAGGAAAGGAUGUUAGAGAAAUCUGAAGGAGCAUCAUAGUGAUAUGACAGAAGGCAAGGUCAGAAACUUUGUAUAACUAAGGAGAAAAGCUGUGUGUCUGAAAUUACUGUAUUUGUAAUGUUAUCUGUAUAACUAAUAGAACUGUCAUACAGAUUGUUUAAUAUUUGCAGCUGAAAGAUACUGCUUUUAUACCAAAUAUUCUUAUUUUGGUUGAUUUCCUUAGAAGACUCUACUCUCUCAUAGUGGUUCUUCUGCCCAGCCUCAGCAAAGUCUACACUCGAGGUUCCAGUCUGUUAUCUCACCUGUGUUUCAGACUCUUCAGCAUUGAAAGCCCCUGCUGUACUGUAGAUGUUUACUGUCACAAGAAGCAGCAAAGGUCCUGUGACAAGAAGCCAGCUUCUUCUCACAGAUGACAACUGCCUUUAAAUACUUUACUGGUUGAAAGGGGAAAGCCUAGAAAUCCCCAGGUGGUGAAAGCAUUUGGAUGUAAAUUAUACAGGCUGUCCAUCAAGCUGCACAAACCAAUAGCUGAUUCACAGUUGAAUGAACCCAGUGUCUGAGAUUUGAAUUCAGAGCAUGUAGCAAAAAACCCUCAGAUGUCAAUGCAAAAUUCAUUGAAGGCUGAGUGUGGCAUCAUUUCUGGCCUGACAGCCUUGUGUAUAUGGAAAAGCAGAAGGAGUGAAAAUUGGUGCCAUGUUAAUACUGCCCAAAUAUACACAAUGAAGUCAGACUGAAAGCAGUGAAAUUGCAGCUGCUCCUCAUGAGCUAACAGGACUGCUUUCCUUAACCAGUGACCUUCAAUUACAGAGUAGCAAGCAAAUUAGCAGAGACAAAAAAGAAACACCUGUUAGCCAGAAAAUCUUACUGGCUAAAGCUCGUCUUGUUUCAGUUCCAGUUUCCGUAGCUUUCGGUAAAAUAUGUGCUGUCUCUUUCUCUUUUGGAGUACUGGCAUUAACUGGAAAUGUUGAUUCUGGAAACAGUGAACUCCUUCUUAUCAAAUUGUCUGGUUUACAAAUGGUUUUUUUAGAAGACCUUAAGGGUUUCUAAGUGCUUGAAGGAUCUGAAUCAUUGCAGAAGGCCUCCUGAUGUCACAGAGAUCAAGUUAGGAAGAAAUGCAAGGCCAAAAAUGGCCAGGGCAGGAAUGGCUAAAUGAAAUUGCCAUUUCUCAGUACCAAGCUCUCCAGCACUCCAUAUGCUCAUGGUUGUUUGCUGUAGGUUGGAGUGACUAUGAAGCAGGCUGGGAUGUAAAUUUACAGUGCAGCAGUUAGGUUGUCCCCAUACAGGAGUGAAGGGGCUUACUCUGAACUAUAUCCGUCUAAAAGGUAGCAGUCUGGUCCUACCUGAUACAGGUUGCUUAUAAACCUGAAAAAAUCACAAAUCCAGAUGAAUUACAUGGUGUGAAUCCACUUUGAAAGGGGACUAGAGAAGACAACAGUAUGUGCAUGCUAAGGGUGUCCACACAGGGAACUAUCACUCUUCAGAUUCACAAGCUGACUUAAUUCCCUAAGUAGGCAAGCCUGAGCAGCAAAGAAUAUAUGGCCUUCUUCCCUUUGAAUUUGGAGAAAAUGUUUGGUGGUUUGUUUUGUUUUUUAUGGCUGGUAACUCUAUACACCUUUUGCGUCUCUUAAUUUUCCGGAUGCUUCAUUGAAACCUUAGGAUCUUAUAAUCAAAAUCAACUUUUUAAUAGGACAAGCUCCAUAUUUCCUUCUCUGGACACAGUUUUACAAGUGAGGUUUUCCUUUUGGAAUAUUAGCACCUUUUAUCUGCCUCAGAUUUACAAAAUAAGCCAUAAAAAAAAUGAGGCAAACCCACUUACAAUAAAAAACAAGUCACACAGUUAAAACAAAGAUAACCACUUAGGCAUAAGUUAUCUUUUGACAACAUUAAUAGCUAAAUACCUUUUUUCAUCCUUCAGUAUAUGUUGGCAUGAAAUCUUUUCCUUGGGAUUUCUGAGUUAUAUGAGGGAAAAAGGAUGGGGAAAUGUCUGCAGAGGGUUUUCUCCUACUUUGGCCAAAUCUGAAACAUGCUUUGCUGCUACCUGUGCCACCACACUGCCUGCAGAUUAACAGUUUUCUUUAAGCCUCCAUUUUCAAAGUUUUCUCAGGAUAGUUUGGAUCAUCAGCUCUUACAAUUUAAAGAGAGAUUAAUUUCUAAGAGACAGCUGUAACAGCAUGGUAGAAUGCCAGAUUGUUUCCUUCUUGCAGCUACUACUAUGUUUUCUUUCAGAGGCAAUUGAUCUUUUUGAGAUUCCUCUUCCCCUUAGUUUGACAGAAAUCUCUUAAUUAUGAGGCUCUGAGUGUUGUCUAAAUGUAAUGUGUGGUGAACUUUAAGUCCCAAGCCUGAAGCCACAGUCUUCCCACUGUUUGUUGUUUGAGCUCAAUAAACAUCACACUGAUAUAUUGAGGUGACUCAGCUAUGCAGUGUUCACCUGCCAGCACCAAGUCACUGGUCUGGACUUCUGAAUUUUUCCAGAUAGCAGACAGGCUGGAAGAGCAAAGCCAUUUAUAUACCUGGUGAUUAUAAUGAUGCAUGGGAACAAAAAUAGAUUUACAACAAUAAUAACAUCCAGGACAGCAAUACAAAUAGUGAGGAUAAAAAACAGGGAAAGAUAAAUACCUGUCUGGAAAUAUGACUACUACUGAAUCAAUAGGCUGAUGUCCUACCAAAAGCACGUCACUACAGAUCAAAAGCAAUGGAGUGUUGGUAACUUUCACUCUGCUCAAUGAAAGUUACCCUUUUUCUCCAGUCUAUCUACUGUUACAAAUUGCAGGGAAGCAUUUCUAUUAAUUAGAGGGCUGCUUUUACACCGCUUUUAACUAAUUAUUGUUAAAACAAGCUAGUCAUAUUCCUCUAACAUGGAAUGGAGUACUUAAUGCCUAUACUCAACACUUCAGGUUUGUUAAUAAAAGAAAUCCUGGGGGUUUUUUUAGUUUCUUUUCCUAUUACAUUUUGUAAACUAUGCUAUGAAUAAUGAAUAAUGAAUAAUUAAAGGUACAACUUUUAAA